GCGGUCGUGGCCGUCACGCUGAACGGCCAGGUAUCGCCGUUCUGAUGGCUGACAUGGUCGCCGUCGGCCAGCACACCCAGCACGACAUCGUCGUCGUACAUGCCGGUGCCCAGCUUGUCCGCCCUGCCGUGCGCGAUCAGGCAGAUCCGGUCGGCCGGAUCCCCCGCCCGGAUGAUGACCUCGCCCGCGGCGAACUCCUGCUGCACGAACCGGUCGGCCAGCGCGGCCAGGGUCUCCUCGUCGUCGAAGUCGUGCAGCAGCGGCAACUCGCGCAAUUCCUGCGGGAUCACCCGGACCCGCGCGCCGACGUUGGUGAACUCGACACUGCCGUCGCCGACGGUGUAGGUCAGCCGCUGGUUCACGCGAUACGUGCCGCCCGCGACGGUCACCCACGGCAGCAUCUUCAGCAGCCAGCGCGGCGAGAUGCCUUGCAUCUGCGGCUCGGACUUGGUCGUCGUGGCCAGGUUGCGGGCAGCCUUGGUGCUCAGGCUGAGCUGAGCGUGCCCAUUCAGG
rnacentral:antisense_RNA from 1 species